rnacentral:rRNA from 1 species
AACCUGGUUGAUCCUGCCAGUAGCAUAUGCUGGACUUGGAGAUUAAGCCAUGCAUGUCUAAGUAUAAGUUAUAUAUUGCGAAACUGCGAAUGGCUCAUUAAAACAGUUAUAAUUUAUUUGGUGAUCUUUUUACAUGGAUAACCAUGGGAAACUGAGGCUAAUACAUGCAAAAAGUCCUUCGGGAUGUAUUUAUUAGUUUAUCAACGUGUUUGAGGAAUCAUAAUAACUCAUCGGAGCGUAGCAAUACGCCACACCAUCAAGUUUCUGCCCUAUCAGCUUUGAUGGUUGUGUAUUGGACAACCAUGGCAAUAACGGGUAACGGAGAAUUGGGGUUCGAUUCCGGAGAGGGAGCCUGAGAAACGGCUACCAUUUCUAAGGGAGGCAGCAGGCGCGUAAAUUACCCAAUCCUGACUCAGGGAGGUAGUUAAUGGAAAUAAUAGGCUCGGCUCUAUGAGCUUGAGUAUAUAAUGAGGUGAACUUAAUCCACUCUCAGAAUCCUAAUAGAGGGCAAGUCUGGUGCCAGCAGCCGCGGUAAUUCCAGCUCUAUUAGCGUAUAUUAACGUUGUUGAUGUUAAAAAGCUCGUAGUUGAAGGUCCGGCCUUUUAGGUCUGUCUAGGAGGCUAUAGGAUAGGGUCAAACUUUUCUUAUAGUUGAAUAGACUUUUACUGUGAACAAAAUAGAGUGCUCAAAGCAAGCGAUAGCUUGAAUAUCUUAGCAUGGAAUAAUAAAAUAUGACUUUAUUCACUAUGUUGGUUUUUGAAUAGAGUAAUGGUUAACAGGAACAGUUGGGGGCAUUUGUAUUUAAUAGUCAGAGGUGAAAUUCUUAGAUUUAUUAAAGACAAACUAAUGCGAAGGCAUUUGCCAAGGAUGUUUUCAUUAAUCAAGAACGAAAGUUAGGGGAUCGAAGACGAUCAGAUACCGUCGUAGUCCUAACCAUAAACUAUACCGACUAGGGAUUGGCAGGGUACUCCUCUGUCAGCACCUAAUGAGAAAUCAAAGUCUUUGGGUUCAUGGGGGAGUAUGGUUGCAAAGCUGAAACUUAAAGGAAUUGACGGAAGGAUACCAGCAUUAAUGGAGCCUGCGGCUUAAUUUGAUUCAACACGGGAAAACUUACCAGGGCAAAAUAUUGAUAGGAUUGACAGAUUGAUAGCUCUUUCUUGAUCCAAUACACUGUGGUGCAUGGCCGUUCUUAGUUGGUGGAGUGAUUUGUCAGGUUAAUUCCCUUAACGAACGAGACCUUAACCUGCUAAAUAGAAGAUGAUAUAUUCUAUCAUUAUUCUUCUUAGAGGGACUACUGGUUUCAAACCAGAGGAAGUUUGAGGCAAUAACAGGUCCGUGAUGCCCUUAGAUGUUCUGGGCCGCACGCGUGCUACAAUGAUACAUGCAGUAAGUUCACCUAGUCCGAAAGGAAAUGGGUAAUCUUUUCAAUGUGUAUCGUGCUUGGGAUAGACCUUUGCAAUUUUGGGUCUUGAACGAGGAAUUAAUAGUAAGCAUGGGUCAUCAUCCCAUGUUGACUACCUCCCUGUCCUUUGUACACACCGCCCGCCGCUUCUACCGAUUCGAGUGGUUCGACGAAUUAUCCGGACUGGCCUAGCCAGGAAGUUUCGUAAGUCAUAUCACUUAGAGGAAGAAUAAGGCGUAACAAGGUAUCUGUAGGAGAACCUGCAGAAGGAUCA